CAUGCGCACUGGAACUGCUAGGCUUGGGGCAGGGAGAGAAGCGGGGAUAGUGGGAAGAGAGGAGGAUGCUUUUUACCAAUCGCGGAGUAAAAAACGUUCAGACAGAAGCAAUGGAACCUACUUACACUCCAUAACCCAGAGCCUUAAUCCAUCUCCAACACUGAAAGAUUAUGGGCAACUGAACAGAAGGAGCAACAGUGAUA